GCGAUGGCAUGACAGAGAACGACAUCAUGAAAACACAACUUUUGGAAAAUAUGACUGCAGCUUCGUUGAGCAGAUCCCUCUGUAUCUAUUUAUAUGAUUCUUCCGAGCUGUUAUCUGUAACCCACGCUGGCACCC